UUAAGCGACUAAGCGUACACGGUGGAUGCCCUGGCAGUCAGAGGCGAUGAAGGACGUGCUAAUCUGCGAUAAGCGUCGGUAAGGUGAUAUGAACCGUUAUAACCGGCGAUUUCCGAAUGGGGAAACCCAGUGUGUUUCGACACACUAUCAUUAACUGAAUCCAUAGGUUAAUGAGGCGAACCGGGGGGAACUGAAACAUCUAAGUACCCCGAGGAAAAGAAAUCAACCGAGAUUCCCCCAGUAGCGGCGAGCGAACGGGGAGGAGCCCAGAGCCUGAAUCAGUGUGUGUGUUAGUGGAAGCGUCUGGAAAGGCGCGCGAUACAGGGUGACAGCCCCGUACACAAAAAUGCACAUGCUGUGAGCUCGAUGAGUAGGGCGGGACACGUGGUAUCCUGUCUGAAUAUGGGGGGACCAUCCUCCAAGGCUAAAUACUCCUGACUGACCGAUAGUGAACCAGUACCGUGAGGGAAAGGCGAAAAGAACCCCGGCGAGGGGAGUGAAAAAGAACCUGAAACCGUGUACGUACAAGCAGUGGGAGCACAGAGCAAUCUGUGUGACUGCGUACCUUUUGUAUAAUGGGUCAGCGACUUAUAUUCUGUAGCAAGGUUAACCGAAUAGGGGAGCCGAAGGGAAACCGAGUCUUAACCGGGCGUUAAGUUGCAGGGUAUAGACCCGAAACCCGGUGAUCUAGCCAUGGGCAGGUUGAAGGUUGGGUAACACUAACUGGAGGACCGAACCGACUAAUGUUGAAAAAUUAGCGGAUGACUUGUGGCUGGGGGUGAAAGGCCAAUCAAACCGGGAGAUAGCUGGUUCUCCCCGAAAGCUAUUUAGGUAGCGCCUCGUGAAUUCAUCUCCGGGGGUAGAGCACUGUUUCGGCAAGGGGGUCAUCCCGACUUACCAACCCGAUGCAAACUGCGAAUACCGGAGAAUGUUAUCACGGGAGACACACGGCGGGUGCUAACGUCCGUCGUGAAGAGGGAAACAACCCAGACCGCCAGCUAAGGUCCCAAAGUCAUGGUUAAGUGGGAAACGAUGUGGGAAGGCCCAGACAGCCAGGAUGUUGGCUUAGAAGCAGCCAUCAUUUAAAGAAAGCGUAAUAGCUCACUGGUCGAGUCGGCCUGCGCGGAAGAUGUAACGGGGCUAAACCAUGCACCGAAGCUGCGGCAGCGACACUGUGUGUUGUUGGGUAGGGGAGCGUUCUGUAAGCCUGUGAAGGUGUGCUGUGAGGCAUGCUGGAGGUAUCAGAAGUGCGAAUGCUGACAUAAGUAACGAUAAAGCGGGUGAAAAGCCCGCUCGCCGGAAGACCAAGGGUUCCUGUCCAACGUUAAUCGGGGCAGGGUGAGUCGACCCCUAAGGCGAGGCCGAAAGGCGUAGUCGAUGGGAAACAGGUUAAUAUUCCUGUACUUGGUGUUACUGCGAAGGGGGGACGGAGAAGGCUAUGUUGGCCGGGCGACGGUUGUCCCGGUUUAAGCGUGUAGGCUGGUUUUCCAGGCAAAUCCGGAAAAUCAAGGCUGAGGCGUGAUGACGAGGCACUACGGUGCUGAAGCAACAAAUGCCCUGCUUCCAGGAAAAGCCUCUAAGCAUCAGGUAACAUCAAAUCGUACCCCAAACCGACACAGGUGGUCAGGUAGAGAAUACCAAGGCGCUUGAGAGAACUCGGGUGAAGGAACUAGGCAAAAUGGUGCCGUAACUUCGGGAGAAGGCACGCUGAUAUGUAGGUGAAGUCCCUCGCGGAUGGAGCUGAAAUCAGUCGAAGAUACCAGCUGGCUGCAACUGUUUAUUAAAAACACAGCACUGUGCAAACACGAAAGUGGACGUAUACGGUGUGACGCCUGCCCGGUGCCGGAAGGUUAAUUGAUGGGGUCAGCGCAAGCGAAGCUCUUGAUCGAAGCCCCGGUAAACGGCGGCCGUAACUAUAACGGUCCUAAGGUAGCGAAAUUCCUUGUCGGGUAAGUUCCGACCUGCACGAAUGGCGUAAUGAUGGCCAGGCUGUCUCCACCCGAGACUCAGUGAAAUUGAACUCGCUGUGAAGAUGCAGUGUACCCGCGGCAAGACGGAAAGACCCCGUGAACCUUUACUAUAGCUUGACACUGAACAUUGAGCCUUGAUGUGUAGGAUAGGUGGGAGGCUUUGAAGUGUGGACGCCAGUCUGCAUGGAGCCGACCUUGAAAUACCACCCUUUAAUGUUUGAUGUUCUAACGUGGACCCGUGAUCCGGGUUGCGGACAGUGUCUGGUGGGUAGUUUGACUGGGGCGGUCUCCUCCUAAAGAGUAACGGAGGAGCACGAAGGUUGGCUAAUCCUGGUCGGACAUCAGGAGGUUAGUGCAAUGGCAUAAGCCAGCUUGACUGCGAGCGUGACGGCGCGAGCAGGUGCGAAAGCAGGUCAUAGUGAUCCGGUGGUUCUGAAUGGAAGGGCCAUCGCUCAACGGAUAAAAGGUACUCCGGGGAUAACAGGCUGAUACCGCCCAAGAGUUCAUAUCGACGGCGGUGUUUGGCACCUCGAUGUCGGCUCAUCACAUCCUGGGGCUGAAGUAGGUCCCAAGGGUAUGGCUGUUCGCCAUUUAAAGUGGUACGCGAGCUGGGUUUAGAACGUCGUGAGACAGUUCGGUCCCUAUCUGCCGUGGGCGCUGGAGAACUGAGGGGGGCUGCUCCUAGUACGAGAGGACCGGAGUGGACGCAUCACUGGUGUUCGGGUUGUCAUGCCAAUGGCACUGCCCGGUAGCUAAAUGCGGAAGAGAUAAGUGCUGAAAGCAUCUAAGCACGAAACUUGCCCCGAGAUGAGUUCUCCCUGACCCUUUAAGGGUCCUGAAGGAACGUUGAAGACGACGACGUUGAUAGGCCGGGUGUGUAAGCGCAGCGAUGCGUUGAGCUAACCGGUACUAAUGAACCGUGAGGCUUAACCU
rnacentral:rRNA from 1 species